CUUCCAGUAGCACCUUAGAGAACAACUAAGUUUGUUCUUGGUAUGAGCUUUCGUGGUAUCUGAAGAAGUGUGCAUGCACACGAAAGCUCAUACCAAGAACAAACUUAGUUGGUCUCUAAGGUGCUACUGGAAG